AUGCACAGCUUGAGAUUUACAACAAUUUAAAGCAAUAAUCAUAAUAACACAAGUGACUUAGUAGUGCAAUAUACUUGCACUUAAUCGGUGUCUUGCUUAUUGUUGCUCAGUUGCUUUAUUUGUGCGACAAAUUGCAUUUGGCAGCCACUUGACAACCACGGACAUUCGAACAGCUGUUCGCCAUUGUCAAAAUACAACACUACUUUGAUUUGUUGUCGCUUUGUCCAGGCUGUUUGUUUGCAUAAGUUAAACGUUUUGCUUAAAUUAGUAGCAAUUUUCAGUUAUUAACAUUAUAUUUUCUUGCAAUCUACUUUUUUUCUUCCUUUGUAGGAAUUGCCAGGAAUUGUGUGUGAAUUAAGAAAACUGUAGGCGUUUAUGACUGUGUAAAUAAUUUGAAAAUUGUGCUAUUUCUUUUCUUUGGAGAAUUUGCAUACACAAACGGAAGCAGAAAAACAUGUCGCAAAGUAAAUACUCAACCUACAGUGAUAAAAUGUCUCACAACAACUGCUGCACUGCCGCUGAUCCUGCGCGUCGGCGUUAAUUCCAACAAUUGUGCGUUGCCAACAAUGUAACCAGACUGUGUGGUUUCGUUUAAAAUCUUUUUAAUAAUGCACUUAAUUUAAAUAAAGUGUUAACGGCACAAAAUGAUAAUUUUUAUUAUUAUUUAAUUGCACGCUUGUAAAACAUUUAAGUAGCAUUUAAAAAGUCGCAAGGCGUUAACGACUUGUAAAACAAAUUGUGUUGCGCUUCUCUUAUUUUUAUUAUUUAUUUAUCUGUUUUUUUUUAUUUUUUAUUUUUUUUUUUUUUGUGUAAUAUUUAUGCUGCGCUUGUGACUUUACUUGUACAAGAAAUUUAUAUGCCGCCAAAAGCGAUUUAUUUAAACGUUUUCUUAUAUUAUUUAUUAUUAAACAAAUUCAACAUUUGUAAUGCCAAUAUUUGUAUAUUUGUGUGUAUGUGCGUAUGCACUUAGACUUGUUACUUUCACGCCUUGACACACGAUUUAGCACCGAUAAAGCCACACCACCCGCCGCGUCUGAUUGACUUACUGGCCGUCAAAUAUACAGAAAUAUGUUUGUAGUUGCAAGCGUUCAGCGCACAGAUUGAUCGAGUUUUGCGUGCGUAUGGACAGACAGCUCAACGCCAGGCGACGUUUACAGCUUUGUAAUGAGCUGCUGCUCGUGUCGUAAUGCGAUUUAUUUUUUUAUUUUUUUUUUAUUUUAUAAAAAUAAUUAAUUUUUUUUUUUGUAAUUUUUUCGAAUAAAUAAAUAAAGUUCGUAUUUUUCGUAAAACUCAGACGCGUGUGUGCGCGUUGAGUCGCGUUUACGUAUUAGUUGCGCGUAAGCUUGGCGGUUUAAAUUUACGUAUUAUUAUUAUUAUUUUUUGAGUUAAAAAUGUAUCACUGCAAACCGGCAUACGCUCACCGGCACGUCCAUCAUAUGACUGACCGUUUGCCAAUGUGCAACGCUAACGUUAAAUGAAAAUUUUCUUUUUGCACAAAAUCGAAUAUAUUUAAAAAAAAAAAGAAUUUUAUAAUAAGUAACGAUAAAACGCGCUCACAACACAGAUUGCUGAACCGAGUUUUCUUGACGCGCCUUUACUGUGUUGUGGCUGUUAACGUCGUUGCGCAUACUGACUGCUGCUCCUAAACGCUUUACUGCUGAUGUUGCUGUUGCUGAUAUUGGCACGACUGUGAUUUGUUGCUGUUGCUGCUGCUCGAUUUUCAAUUUCACACCAAGUAGCGCUGAGCAUUGCUGCCGCUCUAUAUAGCUGCGUACGUGUUAGUGAUUGAGUUGUUAUUAUUGUAUAUUCGUUACAUAGCGUUAGGGGAAGUAACGUUGGCGAUCACAAUCGCGAUCGCACGCAUACACACGUAAGCGCAUAACACAGGCGCAGAAGUGAGCAGCGCGCGUAGGUGUCACAAUAAUGCUUUCGCGCACACUCACACACAAAAAGCGGCGCACACAUUUUGUUUAACGCUGCAGCUAAAGUCGAUCGCGGCGCGAUUUAAAAUGUCGAGCAAAAGCGCUAUUGCUUACAGGCACACAGAGAUAAAUAUAUGUAUGUGUGUAUGUAUAUGCACGCAAAUUGGUUUAGCGCGCAGUUGUAUGUAGGGACAGACAUUCAGAGCGCUGCUUAAAGCGCCUUUGAAGAUUUCUAAAGCACAGCAGCAAAUAUCCGCGUAAUUGAGCAAAGCUCGAGCGCAACGCGCAUAUUUUGUUGUAAUAUUUUUCAAGCUUUUAUUAUAAUUUAUUUUAUUCUAUUCACUAAAUAAAUCAAAUUCGCUUUCGCAACACAAUAUGAGCGCACGUCGCUGACGUUCUACCACCCCCACCAGCCAUACGCCGGCGCUUUGUUGUUGCACAUCUAUAGACAAAUUAACAGGUAGUUGUUUACUUAGAUUAGUAAACGACUGUGUGUAUGCGUGUGUGUGUGUGUGUGUUUGUGUGUGAGUAAUCAGUGGUGACAAGCGCUGAAUUUUUUGACAUUUCUGCUGUCGUCUUCAAUUUCAAUUUUUAACUUUUAUUUAUUGCAUGCCAUAAAAUACGUUGUCAAACAUAUAUACAUACAAGUACAUACAUUUAUGUUAGAAAUAAAACGCUCCCCGAAAAUUCGUUGGCCAUAUAAAUACGCCUGUCGAAUUCAGCGUUGCUUACGCACCCACACAUACGCCGUCACAAACACAAUUACAAAACAGCAAGCGAAGAGCGCUUUUCGCGAUCGACUCGCAUAGGUUUGUAUGUAUGCACAUAUGUAUCGACACAUCGCUUAGUUUGUCAUACUAAAGCUAAAUAAAAUAAAUACAGAUUGUAAAAAUAACAUAUUUUUGCAAUGUAUAGAUAAAUUUUAGCUAAGCAAGUAGUAAGUAUCGUAUGCAUUUUUUUUUUUUGUUUUAUUAUAGUGUUCUCAAACGCAAAUAUUUUUAGACAGACAGUAAUCGGAGCAGUUACGUACUCCUUACAUUUUGCUACCUCACUAAUGAUGUGUAAAUAGCGGUAACGCUUUCUAAAGCUUACUAAAAACCGGUAACUCGCUAGUGAGUUCGUUUCAAAUGCAAAAUUAACACUUAUUAUAGUGCAAACUUUGAGUUAAAAAAUUUAAAAAUUCAAAGCAGUUUUUGUUUAAUCAGAAAGGAAUAGACUUAAGACCUAGAUUUUAUAUGUGCUUUGCUAGGCGAGCGUUUCGAAUUAAUUUACUAACUGAUUUUUUUUACAAUAGUUUUAGUAAACGCGUAUAAUGUGGCAGAGUGGCUGUUGUUAAAAAUAUGCUUUGCCUCAGUUACAUAAUUAGAUAGAUUAAACCCAACCUUUAUUCUUUUUCAUUAUUUUUAUGUUUAUUUCAAAGCAUCUUAUUUUAAAUGUAUCAAUAACUAAGCCCAACUACGUCCUACUUACCUGUUUACCAUUUUGUGCUGCUUCCAAUAAUUUCCGUUGUCGAAUUUUUUCAAUGUCAUACUUCACAAAGGGCGUUCGCGUACAAUUUCCUUGAAUUUCCUGAACUUUUCUAUAGCACAUUUUGCAUCCGUUUUUGCAACACAAUUAACGUACUGAUAUUCACACUAAAACCAUAACACGUUUUAAACAUAAAUAUUUGUACAUUUAAUGGCUAGUUACAGGCAAUUAAAUCACUUCUAUUAAAUUUAGUUUGAACUGUUGGCAGACUGAUAUUGACGUUCGAUUAACGGAAGUGCUUGUUGUGAAGUUUGUUUACUUGAGAAUGUUACGCCGUUGCUUGUUGUAAUAAUGACGGCGCGGCUUUACGCAAAGUUUUAAUGAUGCUUGUUAGUAGCGUAUAUUAUAGUUUUUCUCACAAAUACUUAAAAUUGUUUGUAUUAAUAAAUGUAAAACCGAUUACUCCAAUUUUUACACUCAAUAGUUAUACACUCAACAAACACGACGCUGUGAAGAGUGUACAUAUUGUAUUUUUGUAAAUAAGAGGAAAUCCAAAAGUGUUGAUUAUGACAAUAAAUAAUUUGUUGACGCUAAAAUAUACUACUUUAGAUGACAAUGCAGCAAAAAUGACAACAAAGCGAAAAUAGAUGAAUUUAAGUUACACCAAUACUCGUAAAUUAUUGUACAAUCGUAUAUGUAUACAAAUACAUAAGUAUAUGUAUAUUUAUAUGUAGUAUGCGCACGCACAUUCAUGUAAUAGCAAGCUGUAAGAGGUAGCGAAUCUGCAAAUAAGCAACACAAACAAACAGUAGCAAUGAAUUAAAUGUAUUAUCACCUUAACGAUGCGCCUGUUGCUGGCCGCAGAGGCUGCAGAGCAUACAAUGAGCUAACAGUUGGAGACUAACCGGCGCAUUUUUAGUGCGAUUUACGCAAAAAUUAAUAUUUUUUAGUCAUAAGUGAAAAUGAGUAGAGACUCAGAAAAUUUAAUAUUUAAACAUUUCUGUGCUUGUAAAAGAGAAAAAAGUGUAAACACAUAAUAAAAAUUUGUAAUCAAAAAGCAUAAAUAAAUAAAUAAAAUAUAAAACAAAAUAAAUGAAAAAUAAAACAAAAUAAAUAUAAAAUAAAACAAAGUAAAUAAAAAAUAAAAUAAAAUAUUAAACACUUUAAGUGAAAAAAAAUAUAAUGAAAAAUUUUAAGUUUAUAAAAAUAAAAUUUAAGUUUAAAUAUCAAAAAAAUAUAUAAAAAAUAAAAGAAAUAAAGUUUUAAAUAUAACGACUGAAAUCAAAGUCCUUACUACCAUAAAUAAUAUACAUAAAGUUGAAUUGUAUGCAUUUUCUUAGCAUAAAUCGAAAAUUGUAGUCAACCCUUAGUCAAAAAUAACAAUAUAUACAAACAUAAUUUAUUACCUUUACGUAAAGAAUUUAAAUAUAAAAAGGAAAGCAAAAGAAGAUAUGUAUCAUCACUUUCAACCAACUAACCGCGCCAAUAAAAUUGAUAAUUGACUUUAGAUAAAAUAAACACUUGAAGGCGCAGCUAAGGAGUUGGUUUUUUUACAUACAUACAUAUAUUGAAAUCUAUGGGCAACAGAUGGGCAUACAGAGAUAUCACCAUAAGCCGCUGGUCUUCAAGGGUGCCUGUGACGUACGCGUGUGCUAUAGGAGUGCUAGACUAGCCCUUGUGAAACACGAUGUAUCUCCACCUGUCAAAAUUUCUAAAUUUAUUUGCACUAGAUAUAUUUAAAUUGAUUUUAAUGGAUGACCGCCGAUCAAUCAGAUAGCGUAAAAAAUGUUAUUCCAAGUACCUGUGUGUCUGCUUUAAUUCCCCUCAAGAGCUAAAAAUUAAGUACACACUUAAGGCCUAGAUAGACAAGUGUAAAUGACACAUCAACAAGUGCGUAGGUAUUCAAAUUAAUGCGUAAUUUACAAGUAAACUUCCGCCGACAAAGAUUUUUAUUACAGAGAUGGCUAUUAAUUUAUUAUUACUAUAUUUUUAAAAUGC